GCAGUCCACUAGGUGAUCGCUUGGCUUGGGUCAAGAGGAAAGUCCGGGCAGUGUAGGACAACGACAGUCGCUAACAGCGACCGGAGGUGACUCUAGGGAAAGUGCCACAGAAACGAAACUACCCCGAUGCUACGGUGUCCGGGAAAAGGUGAAACGAGUGAGGUAAGAGCUCACAGUCUGCCAUGGUGACAUGGCGGAGAGGUAAACCCUGUCGACUGCAAGGAGGUCUGCAUAAAGAGCUGUCCGCUCGCAGGCCGAUAACCGCUUGAGUCAUCUGGUAACAGGUGAAUUAGAUAGAUGAUCGCCCUCGACAGAACCCGGCUUAUCGGUGGGCUGCCAAG
rnacentral:RNase_P_RNA from 1 species